rnacentral:rRNA from 1 species
AUUGAACGCUGGCGGCAUGCUUUACACAUGCAAGUCGAACGGUAACAGGCCGCAAGGUGCUGACGAGUGGCGAACGGGUGAGUAAUGCAUCGGAACGUGCCCAGUCGUGGGGGAUAACGCAGCGAAAGCUGUGCUAAUACCGCAUACGAUCUGUGGAUGAAAGCGGGGGACCUUCGGGCCUCGCGCGAUUGGAGCGGCCGAUGUCAGAUUAGGUAGUUGGUGGGGUAAAGGCUCACCAAGCCGACGAUCUGUAGCUGGUCUGAGAGGACGACCAGCCACACUGGGACUGAGACACGGCCCAGACUACUACGGGAGGCAGCGGUGGGGAAUUUUGGACAAUGGGCGCAAGCCUGAUCCAGCAAUGCCGCGUGCAGGAAGAAGGCCUUCGGGUUGUAAACUGCUUUUGUACGGAGCGAAAAGGCUCCCUCUAAUACAGGGGGCUCAUGACGGUACCGUAAGAAUAAGCACCGGCUAACUACGUGCCAGCCGCCGCCGUAACAC